rnacentral:misc_RNA from 1 species
GAUGAAGAACGUAGCGAAAUGCGAAAAGUAAUGUGAAUUGCAGAAUUCAGUGAACCAUCGAAUCUUUGAACGCACAUUGCGCCCGCUGGAACUCCGGCGGGCACGCCUGUCCGAGCGUCAUUUCAACCCUCAGGCCCCCCUUCGCGGGCGGGCCUGGUGUUGGGGCCCGGCCGCUACCCUGCGGCCGUCCCCUAAAUCCAGUGGCGGCCUCGCCGUGAUCCCUUGCGUAGUAAUGCCCCUCGCACCGGAGAGCGCCGUGGCCACGCCGUAAAACCCCCAAUUUUCAAUGGUUGACCUCGGAUCAGGUGGGAAUACCCGCUGAACUUAAGCAUAUCAAUAAGCGGAGGA